rnacentral:rRNA from 1 species
UACGAAGGGUGCAAACGUUGCUCGGAAUUAUUGGGCGUAAAGCGCACGUAGGCGGCUCCAAAAGUCGGAUGUGAAAUCCCUCGGCUCAACCAAGGAAGUGCACCCGAAACUGCGGAGCUUGAGUAUGGAAGAGGGUCGCGGAAUUCCCGGUGUAGAGGUGAAAUUCGUAGAUAUCGGGAGGAACACCAGUGGCGAAGGCGGCGACCUGGGCCAAUACUGACGCUGAGGAGCGAAAGCGUGGGGAGCGAACAGG